rnacentral:snoRNA from 1 species
GCUGUGUGAUGAACAAUUCAUAGCUUUUUAACCCCGAGUGCUUGCGCACGUUGAAGAUCAAAAACAACACUCUAAUUUUUUCCUGAAU